rnacentral:lncRNA from 1 species
ACAUUGACUAUUCACCUAUGACUUGAUAUCAAGAACAAACUAGUGUCCAAAUGAAGCAGUAUCUCGCUAUUUCUACAUGCCUAUAAUACAAGAAGGCAAAGUGCCCAAUAUUGGGGUCACAUUAUCGCCAAAGACCUCCGACUAACAUCGGAGCCCCCACCAUGAGAUUUGUGAGGAAGGCUUUGAAUAACCAGAUUGUCCUCCUUCCAAGACCUAAC